AUAUAUGUAUAUUUGUGCUGUAUAUCAUAAUUUGCUUGUAAUUAUAUUUUUUUCCUUUUCAGUGAUACCAUGGGGAACAAGGGUUCUUUCAUUACCCUUAAUGGGAAAGAUAUGAAACCAAGAUAUACAACGUACCAGGCUGUGCCACACCCACCUGUGAAGCCAAUGGCAUAUGCCAAUUCCAUCCUAAGUUUGUUUAGUUAGGGAACAAUACUCUUUGUAGUCCAUUAGUCCAACAUAGUAUAUGAAUAUGCUGGAAUUGUUAAUUGGUGCAAGCUAGAGGACACAGAAUAAUAUAUCUGCCCAUCUAUUGAGUACAACAUAGGAACCACUCAUGAAAUUUCAGUAGCCUUAUGGUUUAUGUAACUCAGAUACUACAUAAAUACUUACUAAAAUGUAUGCAAAAGCAGGAAACAAGAUAUAACUUCAGACUAUAUACUUUGUAGUACCUCUUUGUGUACCAUCAAAUUAUAUGUAAAAAAGAUGAGGAACUCUG